GCCUUCGUAGUGUAGUGGUCAGCACGCUCGACGCGAAUUCGAGAGGUCCGUGAUUCGAUUCCUGGCGAAGACG
rnacentral:tRNA from 1 species